rnacentral:rRNA from 1 species
UCCCAGUUCGGAUUGUAGUCUGCAACCCGACUGCAUGAAGCUGGAAUCGCUAGUAAUCGCGAAUCAGAAUGUCGCGGUGAAUACGUUCCCGGGUCUUGUACACACCGCCCGUCACACCAUGGGAGUCGGAAAUGCCCGAAGUCAGUGACCCAACCGUAAGGAGGGAGCUGCCGAAGGUGGAGCCGGUAACUGGGGUGAAGUCGUAACAAGGUAAC